rnacentral:rRNA from 1 species
CAAUUCUGCUCGCUGGAUAUAGCAUCUAAAGGGCCGCGUUAGCGUGAGCGUGCAAAGGUAGCAUAAUAAUUUGCCUAAUAAUUGUAGGCAGGAUCAACGAACGUACGCGGGCAGUGCUGUCUCGGAUUAGCAAAUUUGAAGUUAGCCCAAGGGUGAAUAGACCCCUAUAGCAUUAAAAGACAAAAAGACCCUACGAGCUUUAUUCUAUCUGUUUCUAAAAUAUGUUAAACUGAUCAGUGGGGGAGUUGGUUGGGGCAACUGGAGACCUUCUAAAAAUUCUACCCUAGUAUAAUGAACCAUAACGGUGAUCAAGUGUGGAGCUACCAUAGGGAUAACAGGCCAAUCCCCGUUAAGAGACCGUAUUGACAUGGGGGUUUGGUACCUCGAUGUUGGCUUAAGGUGGCUGUGUGAUGCAGGCGUCUCACAAAGUGGGCUUGUUCUGCCCU